GGGGCAGAGAGAUAGAGGACUCCUGGCAGAGCACAAAACCCACUCCCCGUGAAGCUGCGAGAAGGAAAAGCUCCGUUGUGUGUGUGUGAGUGAGUGUGUGUGAGUUUUUAAAUGUCAGAAAGCCCACGCACCGCCUCCACUGCUCGCGGGACUCUCCCAGGAUGCUGGACCCUCACGCCGGGCACAGAGUGGCAGGCUGCUUGAUUCUGCUCUCCCUCCUCCACAUCAACUUGUCUGCUGGCAGCUCAGGAAAAGGCUCACAGAGCCACGAUGAUAUGCAUGUCAUCCACAACAAUCAACUGGAAAUAAGACUCACUUCGUUGCCUUUGAAUGAAUAUUCUAGCAACAAUGUUCUUGUGCCUUUACGCCAACGACUGCUCCUCAGAGAACCCGACUGUCAAACUCCUGAAGUUCACAGACGACACAACGUCCAUCGGCCUCAUCAGGGACGGAGAUGAGUAGACGUGCACACCUGAUAUUAACCAGCUGGUCCUCUAGCGUGGUGAAUCUCAGAACUGUGAAGGUUACAGUGGACUUCAGGAGGAGCUCUCCAACACUGCCCCCCUUCACCAUACUCUACACAUUGUGUCUUCUGUGGAGACCUUCAUGUCUCUGGGAUCCCAAAUCUCUCACCUGAAGUGGGCCUCCAACAUUGACCCAUUCAGGAAGAAGGUCCAGGACAGGUUGAACUUCCUGCGCCAGCUCCUGGUCUUCUUGUUCUACUCCGCCAUCAUCCAGUCUGCUCUCUGUUCUUCCAUCACUGUGUGGUUUGGAUCGGCCACGAAACAGGACAGCAACAGACUGCAGUGGCCUAAACCUCCAUCCUGGACUCGUACACCUCCAGUCAAGAAACAGGAAGGAACGAUCACUGCAGACCCUUUACACCCUGGACACAACUUGUAUAUUUACUAGAGUUGUUAAAUGUGUCUAUAUUUGAAUCCAUUGUACUGUUUAUGUUGUCUUCUACUUUUUAAUUUUCUUGUCGAUUUAUAUUUAUGUGCAAACCGCAGUUAAACUCCGGGUAUGUGUAAGCAUACGUGGCCAAAAAGCUAAUUCUCUUUCUCACUUUAACAUGAGACUAACCUUAACAGCUUUUCUUACAUAACUACCACACACUUGCCCUUUUCUCAUCCUUUUUUUUUUUUUUGCAAUCUUGAGCAUGCAACCCGUCUAUUGGGUUGCAUGCUCUUUCCUUUCUGGCUGUCCCCUCUCUCCUAUUUUCUUCUCUCUGUUUACUGAGAGAUAUUUAUGACACUGACUUUUUGGUAGUAAGCUGAAAGUUAAAUACACCAUGUUCGCUAUUGAUCGUGUGCAAGGCAAUUCAACUUCUUCAUUAAUAUGAGAAGAAGGCUUAGAAAACCGUUUCACUUGCACCUGCAAGACACAUCCGCCUCUGUCACGCAGUGUGAUUGCC
ensembl:lncRNA